AGCAGUGGGAGGCAGAGGAGGCCUCAGAUUAGAAGGAAUAAACGAUCCCGUCAACAUCAUCAUCAAGUAUCUUCCGAUAUCCCGGUAUUUUCUAAUCAACAAUCAACACCAGUUCAGCAACAACACAACAUCAUCAACAACAACCGCAACAACGAACAAACAUCUACAAAAACAACAAUACCAACAAUCAUCAUCAAUAAAACUUUGAGAGGAAGAAGGUCUCUUUCGACCCAAUUCCUAUGUCAUACGCAGAGCUAUAUCCAUCUUUG
rnacentral:lncRNA from 1 species